rnacentral:rRNA from 1 species
UUUGCGCAUGGGGGAAACCCUGNCGCAGCAACGCCGCGUGAGUGAUGAAGACCUUCGGGUCGUAAAGCUCUGUCAAGUGGGAAAAAAUACUUUCGGUUAAUAGCCGGAAGGACUGAUGGUACCGCUGGAGGAAGCACCGGCUAACUCCGUGCCAGCAGCCGCGGUAAUACGGAGGGUGCAAGCGUUGUUCGGAAUUACUGGGCGUAAAGGGCGUGUAGGCGGCUUGGCAAGUCAGAUGUGAAAGCCCUGGGCUCAACUCAGGAAGUGCAUUUGAAACUGCCAUGCUAGAGUAUGGGAGAGGAGAGUGGAAUUCCCAGUGUAGAGGUGAAAUUCGUAGAUAUUGGGAGGAACACCGGUGGCGAAAGCGACUCUCUGGACCAAUACUGACGCUGAGACGCGAAAGCGUGGGGAGCAAACAGGAUUAGAUACCCUGGUAGUCCACGCCGUAAACGAUGAGAACUAGGUGUAGCGGGUAUUGACCCCUGCUGUGCCGCAGCUAACGCAUUAAGUUCUCCGCCUGGGGAGUACGGCCGCAAGGCUAAAACUCAAAAGAAUUGACGGA